CCUACGGGAGGCAGCAGUGGGGAAUCUUGCGCAAUGGGCGAAAGCCUGACGCAGCCAUGCCGCGUGUAUGAUGAAGGUCUUAGGAUUGUAAAAUACUUUCACCGGGGACGAUAAUGACGGUACCCGGAGAAGAAGCCCCGGCUAACUUCGUGCCAGCAGCCGCGGUAAUACGAAGGGGGCUAGCGUUGCUCGGAAUUACUGGGCGUAAAGGGCGCGUAGGCGGACAGUUUAGUCAGAGGUGAAAGCCCAGGGCUCAACCUUGGAAUUGCCUUUGAUACUGACUGUCUUGAGUACGGGAGAGGUGAGUGGAACUCCGAGUGUAGAGGUGAAAUUCGUAGAUAUUCGGAAGAACACCAGUGGCGAAGGCGACUCACUGGCCCGUUACUGACGCUGAGGCGCGAAAGCGUGGGGAGCAAACAGGAUUAGAUACCCUGGUAGUCCACGCCGUAAACGAUGAGUGCUAGUUGUCGGCAUGCAUGCAUGUCGGUGGACGCAGCUAACGACAUUAAGACACUCCGCCGUCGGGAGGUACGGUCGCGAGAGUUAAACUAACGUAAGAAGUUAGAGUCGUUGAGAGNGCGACGGCGACGACGAGGGAGGAGG
rnacentral:rRNA from 1 species